GCGGCGAACGGGUGAGUAACACGUGGGUGAUCUGCCCUGCACUUCGGGAUAAGCCUGGGAAACUGGGUCUAAUACCGGAUAUGACCUCCUGUCGCAUGGUGGGUGGUGGAAAGAUUUAUCGGUGCAGGAUGGGCCCGCGGCCUAUCAGCUUGUUGGUGGGGUAAUGGCCUACCAAGGCGACGACGGGUAGCCGACCUGAGAGGGUGACCGGCCACACUGGGACUGAGACACGGCCCAGACUCCUACGGGAGGCAGCAGUGGGGAAUAUUGCACAAUGGGCGAAAGCCUGAUGCAGCGACGCCGCGUGAGGGAUGACGGCCUUCGGGUUGUAAACCUCUUUCAGCAGGGACGAAGCGCAAGUGACGGUACCUGCAGAAGAAGCACCGGCUAACUACGUGCCAGCAGCCGCGGUAAUACGUAGGGUGCAAGCGUUGUCCGGAAUUACUGGGCGUAAAGAGUUCGUAGGCGGUUUGUCGCGUCGUUUGUGAAAACCAGCAGCUCAACUGCUGGCUUGCAGGCGAUACGGGCAGACUUGAGUACUGCAGGGGAGACUGGAAUUCCUGGUGUAGCGGUGAAAUGCGCAGAUAUCAGGAGGAACACCGGUGGCGAAGGCGGGUCUCUGGGCAGUAACUGACGCUGAGGAACGAAAGCGUGGGUAGCGAACAGGAUUAGAUACCCUG
rnacentral:rRNA from 1 species